CGCUAGAGCGUCGCACCCAUACCGGGCCGUCGGCGGCAACGCGAGAGGCGUCUAGUCCUCGAGCCGAACCAGGCCCCGACGAGUAGGAGGGUCGCCGGGGAGAGCGUCGAAGUCUUGGAAGCGAUUCCGGAUGGAGCCUCCCCGGGUGCAGAUCUUGGUGGUAGUAGCAAAUAUUCA
rnacentral:rRNA from 1 species